CAGAUUUUCAUGGAGAUCAAAUUAAUGAAAGGUGGGGAAAUUUGGAGGAACUAAUGGAAGAUAUUGAAGCUUUUCGCUAUAUGGUGAGGGAAACAGGAUAUGACAGGGGCCGAGGAGCGAAAAGCACCUCUAUAUUGGAAAAAAUCAAAGGAGUUGUCUCCUAAACAA